AAGAAAGAAAACCAAAUAUACCAAAAAUCCACAAACUAUAUGAAGUGCCCAAUGAGGAGAGCAAGCCAAAACCAUCAAUUUCGCAGAGCCUAAACAUGGUGAGGCCCACACUGGGCCACAGGAAUAUGCAAGAUAUUAGAUGCACAAACAGUAGGUACAUAAAUAUCAUUUACUGUCAAUUUAAAGUUGUGCUAUGUCGUCCCGGUAAGUAAAGCAGAAAAAUAUUUUGAAUUUUCUAAAACAAAGUUUUUUAAUUUAUCCCUAUGUUGUUUUUUUUUAAUAUUGAAAUUCAUUUUCAGCUGAGCAAGAAGAAAACAAUAAAACUUUGGACCGUAGUAAAGAAAAGUGUGCUGCAGAUGUGAACUAUAAAAUCUAGGAACUAUGACCGUUUUUCUGUUGGUAUAUCUAGUUGGACGCAGUAAUACCGUCUGGACCCGGUGCAGAAUUGUUCCUCAGGGAGGCAAUCACAUUAACAAUCUCAUUUUCUGUUACUGGACUAAGGUAGAUGGAGGCCUCAGUCGCAUGGAAUUUUGGUACCAGAUCUUUAUUGUGCGGUCCGAUUUUUUUAAUUAUCUGUUUGGCAACAGUUGUGAAAAAUGAAUUGAAUCCUUCUGCCUUAUCGCAAUCUGUUUUUAAUACAACAUUAUUAUCAAUUAUUUCACCUAUAAUACUUUUUUUUUUCUUCGUAAUUUUAUUUAUUUGAUUGAUUUCAUUUCAAAUUUUUUUUGUGUCAUUUGCAGCAAGUUUUAUUUUGUUAGCAUAGUAUGAAUUCUUAGUUUCUUUUAUCAACUUGUUCAAUUUAUUUCUGUCAGUUGUGAAAAGUUUCUUAUUUUCUGUCGUGGGACUUUUGAUAAAUUUCAUUUUUAAUU